CAGGCCUAACACAUGCAAGUCGAGCGCUUGGGGUGUUCCCUUACGGGAAACCCCCUGGAGCGGCGGACGGGUGAGUAACACGUAGGCAACCUGCCUGUAAGAUCGGGAUAACUACCGGAAACGGUAGCUAAGACCGGAUAGCUGGUUUCUCCGCAUGGGGGAAUCAUGAAACACGGGGCAACCUGUGGCUUACGGAUGGGCCUGCGGCGCAUUAGCUAGUUGGUGGGGUAAUGGCCCACCAAGGCGACGAUGCGUAGCCGACCUGAGAGGGUGAUCGGCCACACUGGGACUGAGACACGGCCCAGACUCCUACGGGAGGCAGCAGUAGGGAAUCUUCCGCAAUGGGCGCAAGCCUGACGGAGCAACGCCGCGUGAGUGAUGAAGGUUUUCGGAUCGUAAAGCUCUGUUGCCAAGGAAGAACGCCUCGGAGAGUAACUGCUCUGAGGGUGACGGUACUUGAGAAGAAAGCCCCGGCUAACUACGUGCCAGCAGCCGCGGUAAUACGUAGGGGGCAAGCGUUGUCCGGAAUUAUUGGGCGUAAAGCGCGCGCAGGCGGUCUUUUAAGUUUGGUGUUUAAGCCCGGGGCUCAACCCCGGUUCGCACUGAAAACUGGGAGACUUGAGUGCAGGAGAGGAAAGCGGAAUUCCACGUGUAGCGGUGAAAUGCGUAGAGAUGUGGAGGAACACCAGUGGCGAAGGCGGCUUUCUGGACUGUAACUGACGCUGAGGCGCGAAAGCGUGGGGAGCAAAC
rnacentral:rRNA from 1 species